AAUCAAGUCAAACAUACUAGCAAUAACUGUUAAUGCAAACUGCAAAUAGCCUCUAACUAUGUCAAUGUUACAGUUCACAUUCAAGCUGUUAGUGAUGAAAAAACAAAGUAAACUGCUCAGGCAGGCAUUAUGCCCCUCUGUUCCGUUUUUUGGGGGAAUCUGACAUGUAGUUUGACGUCAAUAGAACUGCAAAAAAGUCUUCAAACAUGAACUGUUUUAUAUAGUACAUGAAUGACUCAGGGUAGGUUUUAUUUUGUCCUCUUAAAUUUUUAAUCUUGCAUUUAUCAGAAAAAUGUUGGUCCAGGUUAUGUAGGAUCAACAACUGAAGUAUGUGAAGCUAAAUGAGGAUGAAGGACAGUACGACUUCCUGCAAUUUAAUGUAAAAGCCUUUGAACAAGAAAUGGCAUUGCUGUUGUUUUUACAUUUCCUUCCACCACCACCAGAAGGACAAAGGUCUCCAAAAAUCAGGGCAACUGAUGAAAGUCACAGACUUGUAGUCUUUCAUAAGUCAUGCUGCAGUCUGGAAGAGCAACUCUGCAAUCAACAAGGUCGACAACCAUACCCCCUCACUGUUGGGCAUCAGAGGAGCAAGACUGACACCUUCUACAUCACCAUGGAUAAGCAUCUUAUUCCAUGUCAGGCGAGCCACUCACUCGGGGCAUUUGAUGAACUGUUCAAAGCACACUUUGUGUUUAAUUUGUCCCAAGAUAAUAUAAAGCUGGACUUGUUAUUUGCAGUGCAGUGGAAGAAGACAUGUCUGUUUUUUGCCAAAUAAGUGAUUUACUUUUGUUUGAAGAUUACAUUUUUUAAUGGGAAACAAGUUGUUUACAGUGUUUUGAUAACCAUCUAUAUGCAUUAAGAGUUGUACAUACUGAGGAGAGAUGAAUAGUGAAAAUGUCAGAUCUAAAGUUUUAUAAACCUUUUGAUAUGCAAAGGUCAUAUAAUGUUUCAGAUGAGACAGUGUACAUUGUACCGUCAUUCACAAAUCAAGACAUAAUAAAUGUCCUU
ensembl:lncRNA